CAAAACUAGACAGGGGAUUGUUGUGGGAACUGUGUACUAGUGACAAUAUUUCACGGUGGCAUUGGUUAUGGAGGCAGAUAUGAACUGAAGCUAUGCCUUACUGGGCACCCUCUAAUUGAUAAGCCUGAUUCCUACUAAUGUUCCUCUCCUCUAAGCCUGAGAGCCUCCUUCGUGAACAACUGUGAUGGAACCUCUAUGAGAAGGAGCAGAAGAGCCGGAAGGUGACAACUAGAGCUACCAUGAGCAGCAGCUAUGCUGCCUCCUGUCAUUCUGCCAUGAUUUCUGUUUUGGAGCCAAAUUACGUAUGAAUUGAAACCACAUGCAAAUCAGAUGUCUCCUUCUGUGUCCCGUGAUGAGCAAACUGACUAAUACAAUCUCUUUGCAUUUCUGAUACUGGAAACCAAGAAGCUAAAGCAAAGAAGUCGUCUAAGGGGAACUGUGAAGAAUUACCGUUACCCGCCAUGUAUUGGAUGAAAUAAAUGAAUUUAAGCACU